AAAGCUUAAUCUUUCUUCAUCUUCUAUUGAUUUUUCACCAAGAAACAGCCAUGGGAGAGCUCAAAAUUUCAGCAACAUAAUCCUCUAGCAUAUCAAGAAAAGCAACUUACGGAUUUAAAUCGGGGAAAAGAUAAAGUAUUGUAUUAAGCAACUAUUAUCUCCGUGCAAAUUUGAGAUAUCGGAAGCUCGUUCGGGUUGGAAAUUGGCGGAGAUUUCAUCACACUAUUUAUCAGCUAUUUUGGUAUUAUGGUUUUAUAAUUCUGGUUAUAAUGGCAUUUAUAGGUCAUCUUGGCUAAUGGUAGCUUAUAUGUCUUGUUGUGUUUUUAGCCAUUCAAUAUUGCUUGAAAAUGGUAU